rnacentral:rRNA from 1 species
CUCCUGGAAACGGGUGGUAAUGCCGGAUGCUCCGCCCCCUCGCAUGGGGGGUCGGGAAGGCUUUUGCGGAAUGGGAUGGGGUCGCGUCCUAUCAGCUUGUUGGCGGGGCGACGGCCCACCAAGGCUUCGACGGGUAGCCGGCCUGAGAGGGCGACCGGCCACAUUGGGACUGAGAUACGGCCCAGACUCCUACGGGAGGCAGCAGUGGGGAAUAUUGCACAAUGGGGGGAACCCUGAUGCAGCGACGCCGCGUGCGGGAUGGAGGCCUUCGGGUCGUGAACCGCUUUUGAUUGGGAGCAAGCGUGAGUGAGUGUACCUUUCGAAUAAGCACUGGCUAACUACGUGCCAGCAGCCGCGGUAAUACGUAGGGUGCAAGCGUUGUCCGGAAUCAUUGGGCGUAAAGGGCUCGUAGGCGGUUCGUCGCGUCCGGUGUGAAAGCCCAUCGCUUAACGGUGGGUCUGCGCCGGGUACGGGCGGGCUUGAGUGCGGCAGGGGAGGCUGGAAUUCCCGGUGUAACGGUGGAAUGUGUAGAUAUCGGGAAGAACACC